rnacentral:rRNA from 1 species
UCGAACGCGAAAGUGGAGCAAUCCAUGAGUAGAGUGGCAAACGGGUGAGUAACACGUGGGUGACCUGCCUUCGAGUGGGGGAUAACGUCCCGAAAGGGACGCUAAUACCGCAUGACAUCCUGCCCUUGAACGGGUGGAGAUCAAAGCUGGGGAUCGCAAGACCUAGCGCUUGGAGAGGGGCCCGCGUCCGAUUAGCUAGUUGGUGAGGUAACGGCUCACCAAGGCAACGAUCGGUAUCCGGCCUGAGAGGGCGGACGGACACACUGGGACUGAGACACGGCCCAGACUCCUACGGGAGGCAGCAGUGGGGAAUUGUUCGCAAUGGGCGCAAGCCUGACGACGCAACGCCGCGUGGAGGAUGAAGAUCUUCGGGUCGUAAACUCCUUUCGAUCGAGACGAACGGCUUCCGUGCUAAUCAACGGAAGAGUGACGGUACCGAGAGAAGAAGCCCCGGCUAACUCCGUGCCAGCAGCCGCGGUAAUACGGGGGGGGCAAGCGUUGUUCGGAAUUACUGGGCGUAAAGGGCUCGUAGGCGGCCAACUAAGUCAGACGUGAAAUCCCUCGGCUUAACCGGGGAACUGCGUCUGAUACUGGAUGGCUUGAGGUUGGGAGAGGGAUGCGGAAUUCCAGGUGUAGCGGUGAAAUGCGUAGAUAUCUGGAGGAACACCGGUGGCGAAGGCGGCAUCCUGGACCAAUUCUGACGCUGAGGAGCGAAAGCCAGGGGAGCAAACGGGAUUAGAUACCCCGGUAGUCCUGGCCCUAAACGAUGAAUGCUUGGUGUGGCGGGUAUCGAUCCCUGCCGUGCCGAAGCUA